rnacentral:rRNA from 1 species
GACGAACGCUGGCGGCGUGCUUAACACAUGCAAGUCGAACGGAAAGGCCCUGCUUUUGGGGGGUGCUCGAGUGGCGAACGGGUGAGUAACACGUGAGUAACCUGCCCUGGACUUUGGGGUAACUUCAGGAAACUGGGGCUAAUACCGGAUAGGAGCUUCUGAUGGAGGGUGGGGGUUGGAAAGUUUCGGCGGGUGGGGAUGGACUCGCGGCUUAUCAGCUUGUUGGUGGGGUAGGGGUUUACCAAGGCUUUGACGGGUAGCCGGCAUGAGAGGGUGACCGGCCACAUGGGGCCUGAGAUACGGCCCAGAGUGCUAUGGGAGGCAGCAGUGGCGAACCUGGCCCAGUGGGCGGAAGCGUGAUGCGGCAACGCCGCGGGCGGGAUGACGGCCUGCGGGUUGUAAACCGCUUUCGCCUGUGACGAAGCGUGAGUGACGGUAAUGGGUAAAUAAGCACCGGCUAACUACGUG